AGAGCGCGUGUGGCCGCCGAGCACAUGGGCCCGCGGGCCGGUCGCGCUCGGGGCGGCCCGGGCGAGGAGGGGCGGCCGGGAGCCGCGAACGAGGAUGGGCCCUGGCACCCCGGAACCCCCAAGUGGAUUUCCACGCGGAAAGGAUGUUGGCGGCCCCGGUGACCUGUGGAGAUACGGCGGGAUCCACCCUCCA
ensembl:misc_RNA